UGGGGAAUCUUGCGCAAUGGGCGAAAGCCUGACGCAGCGACGCCGCGUGGGGGAAGAAGGCCUUCGGGUUGUAAACCUCUUUCAGAAGGGACGAAGCUACUCGGGUGAACAGCCCAGAGGGUGACGGUACCUUCAGAAGAAGCCCCGGCUAACUACGUGCCAGCAGCCGCGGUAAUACGUAGGGGGCGAGCGUUGUCCGGAUUUAUUGGGCGUAAAGAGCGUGUAGGCGGCCUGGCAGGUCCGUUGUGAAAACUCGAGGCUUAACCUCGAGACGUCGACGGAAACCGUCAGGCUAGAGUCCGGAAGAGGAGAGUGGAAUUCCUGGUGUAGCGGUGAAAUGCGCAGAUAUCAGGAAGAACACCCGUGGCGAAGGCGGCUCUCUGGGACGGUACUGACGCUGAGACGCGAAAGCGUGGGGAGCGAACAG
rnacentral:rRNA from 1 species